rnacentral:rRNA from 1 species
AUGGCACCCAAGGCUGCUGAGAAGAAGCCUGUGGAGAAGACCCCCGCGGGCAAGAAGCCCAAGGCGGAGAAGAAGGUGCCGGCGUCCAAGGAGGGCGGCGACAAGAAGGGGAAGAAGAAGGCCAAGAAGAGCGUCGAGACGUACAAGAUCUACAUCUUCAAGGUGCUCAAGCAGGUGCACCCGGACAUCGGCAUCUCCUCCAAGGCCAUGUCCAUCAUGAACUCCUUCAUCAACGACAUCUUCGAGAAGCUUGCCGGCGAGUCUGCCAAGCUCGCCAGGUACAACAAGAAGCCCACCAUCACGUCCCGGGAGAUCCAGACCUCCGUCCGCCUCGUCCUCCCCGGCGAGCUCGCCAAGCACGCCGUCUCCGAGGGCACCAAGGCCGUCACCAAGUUCACCUCGUCCUAG